rnacentral:rRNA from 1 species
GCGCACCAGGCGCGAAACUUUACAAUGUGCGAAAGCACGAUAAGGGAACUCUGAGUGCCUCCUAAGGAGGCUGUUCUGAUGUCUAAAAGCAACAGAAGUAAGGGCUGGGUAAGACCGGUGCCAGCCGCCGCGGUAACACCGGCAGCCCAAGUGGUAGCCACGUUUAUUGGGUCUAAAGCGUUCGUAGCCGGCCAGGUAAGUUCCUUGGUAAAUUUAGCCGCUUAACGGUUAAGCUUUCAGGGAAUACUGCUUGGCUUGGGACUGGGGAGAGGUCAGAGGUACUCCGGGGGUAGGGGUGAAAUCUAUUAAUCCCUGGGGGACCACCGGUAGCGAAGGCGUCUGACCAGACCAGGUCCGACGGUGAGGGACGAAGGCUAGGGGCGCGAACCGGAUUAGAUACCCCCGUAGU